rnacentral:rRNA from 1 species
GAUGAACGCUGGUGGCGUGCCUAACACAUGCAAGUCGAGCGAUUCUCUUCGGAGAAGAGCGGCGGACGGGUGAGUAACGCGUGGGUAACCUGCCCUGUACACACGGAUAACAUACCGAAAGGUAUGCUAAUACGAGAUAAUAUGCUUUUAUCGCAUGGUAGAAGUAUCAAAGCUUUUGCGGUACAGGAUGGACCCGCGUCGGAUUAGCUAGUUGGUAAGGUAACGGCUUACCAAGGCGACGAUCAGUAGCCGACCUGAGAGGGUGAUCGGCCACAUUGGAACUGAGACACGGUCCAAACUCCUGCGGGAGGCAGCAGUGGGGAAUAUUGCACAAUGGGCGAAAGCCUGAUGCAGCAACGCCGCGUGAGCGAUGGAGGCCUUCGGGUCGUAAAGCUCUGUCCUCAAGGAAGAUAAUGACGGUACUUGAGGAGGGAGCCCCGGCUAACUACGUGCCAGCCGCCGCCGUAA